rnacentral:lncRNA from 1 species
GAGGUAGAAGGUGGAGUUGAGCAGAUCUUCCAGCUUGCGCGGGACGUCGUUCUCCUGGUAGUACGCCAUCGCCUGCUGCUUCAGCUUCUGCAGGUCCCUAGUGAUCCCGCCUCUGCGGCCGCCGUCUUAGAUGGAGAGUGUCGGCAUGUACGGGUUCUGUGGCUGCAAAGGAAAGAGCAAGCUGAAGUGUGACUCCAGGUGGGAAAUAG